AACUCUCAGCGGUGGAUCACUUGGCUCAUGCAUUGAUGAAGAAUCCAGCUAUCUGCAAGAAUUAAUGUGAUUUGCAGGACACACUGAUCAUUGACACUUCGAACGCACUUGCGGCCCUGGGUUCCUCCUGGGGCUAUGCCGGUCUGAGCAUCG
rnacentral:rRNA from 1 species